AUGGCCCAGAAAAUAUUAGGGAGGCGGGCAGAAAAAAGAAAAUUGUGUAAAAAUUGCCAUGUGACAAGUUGGUCUUACGAGAAUGGAGAGCUGCUGCUGAUAUACGAGUACAUGCCCAAUGGCAGCGCAGACAAGCACCUGUUCCACGAAAAGCAGCAGCACCGUGGCCACCAACAGCCAGUUCUGCCCUGGGAGAGACGCUAUGACAUUGUGAAGGACGUGGCCGCCGGUUUGCACUACGUCCACCACGAGUACGAGCGCACGGUGCUCCACCGCGACAUCAAGGCCAGCAACAUCAUGCUGGACUCGGCAUUCCGCGGCCGCCUCGGCGACUUCGGCCUCGCGCGAGUCGUCGCCUUCGACAAGGACUCCUUCACCGACGUCGGCGUCGCGGGCACCUGGGGCUUCAUCGCGCCGGAGUACCCCGUGAGCCACAAGGCCACCCGGCAGACCGACGUCUAUGCGUUCGGGCAGGGCCGUCUCCAGAAAUUUGGGGGCCCGGGACGAAAAUCAAAAUAG
rnacentral:rRNA from 1 species